UAUCUAUGAAUGUCAGUAAUUUAUUUAUCAUUUAAUAACAAUUUCUAAAUUCGUAAUCCCGUUUUAUGGGGAACUAUAUUGACGUGAUGCUGGCAAAUGCCUUCGUGGCGAUAGCCAUUAAUUAAAAAAAAAAAAUAACAAUUUGACAAUAAAUUUAACUUUAAAGUACAACAUUUGCCAUUUAAAGAAUGGUUUAAUAAGCCAUAUAUUAAUAUUAUACAAGCCAUGUUUAAGCGGCUUAAAUUAAGGCACUAAUCUUGGACCUAACUUUUGCUAGUAAGAAGCACAAUGAGAUAACGUAGCACUUCGUGACGCAAGUUAUUUUGUCUACGGAAGCGGAACCUUAAAAAUGUGGCUGAAAAUGUUAGCGACAAAGCGCGAUCUCGCAACCAAUUUUGAAUACCCUGAUCGUGCCUCUACAUCUACUUGCAAAUUGGUUAAUCUCACCCACUCCAUACAGUCACGGAGCCAUUUAUUAUCCGCGGCUGCAAAUAUGCCGGCACCUAGAGACUGGCGUUCUAAGAAAAUUCAAUUAUCCCUAAUUGAUUGUUCAAAUUUAACCUCACUCAGAAACGGCUAAAUAAACUAAUUAUAUAAUUAACUCAUCUUCCUGAAGCUUUAUUCGGUUACGUGGAAGAAUUACCUUGAAAUUAUAUGGGGAAAACGUCUAUCUUUUGAUGGAUGAAACGUAACAUUUACCAUCUACCUAUCCAUGUACCUAUCUGAAUACAAUCAGUCAUUCAAUAUUGUUAAUUAUUUUUUGCCUGGAUAAAAAACGAAGGGUGGAAGUGGAAUUAUUGGAAAAUUAAUAUGCAUUUUCUCAAAAAAAAUAUACAAGCUUUUACCGCUAA